UACGGAGGGUGCGAGCGUUGUCCGGAAUCAUUGGGCGUAAAGGGCGCGUAGGUGGCCCCCUCAAGCGUGCGGUGAAAGUCAGGGGCUCAACCCCUGAUCGGCCGUGCGAACUGGGGAGCUUGAGCACUGUAGAGGCAGGCGGAAUUCCGGGUGUAGCGGUGGAAUGCGUAGAGAUCCGGAAGAACACCGGUGGCGAAGGCGGCCUGCUGGGCAGUUUUGCUGACACUGAGGCGCGACAGCGUGGGGAGCAAACAGG
rnacentral:rRNA from 1 species